GAGAAACGUGAGGAAGGCUGUUGGUGACUCACCCCCUGGAAGUGAGCAGAGGAACUUCAUCAAGCUGACUAGGUUAGCUGGCCAGUGUGCUCCAAGGAUCUGUUUGUCAUCUUGUCAUUGUUGGGGUUACAGAAACUAGAACAUCUCGCCUGAACGGCUCUUCUGGUUCAAGACCUGUUUGUGAAUGCAUAUGUUUGUACCUUGAUCUCACUCAGCAACCACUGCUCCCAAGCUCAUUGGCUUUCCCAGCUUCUCCUCUCCUUAAUGAACCCUUUCCUCCUCUCAAGUCAUCUUCCUGUGUGUCAUGGUAUUGUAUAUCCCAGCAUUGCCUCAAAUUCACUGCGUGGUUUGGUUAUGACCUUGACAAUCUCAUCCUCUACCUCUCUUCCAGAGUGCUGGAAUUACAGAUUAUUUUUAGUUGGAGCCAUUUUUUUCCAUUGCCAUUCUGUCCUCUACAUUUCAGAAGGUAAAACACUAAAGAAGGCCAGAUGGAAGUACUCAAGAAUUCCCUGAAUACAUCAUAUUCAGUAGAUCAAGAAACUAGAGCCUCAGGAUGGAGAGAAGACUACACCCAAGAUCCUUCAUUCCAUCUGCUUUCCAUGUUGCUGCCAAGAGCCCAUAUGUGAAACCUGCUUCCUAUAGGAUGCUCCUGACCAAUCAUAGUUGUCUUAGCUGAGCUGAUUCAACGUCUUCUGUCCCAUGUAUACAAAUGGUCUCUAGGGGCCAGGAACAGAUAGGUGCAGCUUCCCAAAGGCCCUUUGCCUGAAGAUUGAUCAGACCAGGCUGGAGUCAAUGUUGCAGCAAAACUGCUGAGAGAAUACAAAUGCCAUUAGGGACAUGCUGUUCCAUAGCAGGAGACGAAAGAGGUUCCACACUCUCACCUGUUUAAUAAACAUGGGGCAGAAAGUCACCCCUCUUGUUGGGAGCAACAAACUUCUCUGGAUAAGUCCACAAGGAUAAUUUGGGGGAAGGUUAGUAAAUGGACACACUCCUUCUAGAAGCCUGGCUUUUGUGCUAAACUUAUUUUCCUGAAGUUAUAUUUUCCAGGGCCUCCUAAGCAUCUCCAUGAGAAAACACCAAAAGGAAACUGUUGCCAAGAUGGUAAGAUGCUUACAGACCCAUUGCCCACUCCGCAUACACAGAAUGAAUUAGGCUGGCUCUUGAAGUCCUGGGGCAUUAGGGCUCCAAGUGUUUCUAAGGUACAGUCACCUUGUGAUGAUUAUUAUUGAAUGUCCACUUGACAGGGUCGAGAAUCAUCUACAAGAUAAACUUCCAGGCUUACAUGUUAGGCUGUUUCUGGACUGGAGAAAUGAAGGUGGGAAGACGCAUUCUAAACGUGGGUAGAUCAUCCCAUAGGUUGCGGCUCUGGACUGAAGAAAAAGGAGAAAGACAAUUUAGCAGCAGCAUUCAGCUUCCCCACCUCCCUACUGUGGACACAACGUGACCAGCUGCCUAGUUCUUCUGGUUGCCAUAACUUCUAUGAAUUGUACCCUCAACCUAUAAAUAAACCCUGCCUCCCU
rnacentral:lncRNA from 1 species